rnacentral:rRNA from 1 species
AGGGCGCACGGUGGAUGCCUUGGCACUAGGAGCCGAUGAAGGACGGAACUAAUACCGAUAUGCUUCGGGGAGCUAUAAGUAAGCUUUGAUCCGGAGAUUUCCGAAUGGGGGAACCCAGUACACAUCAGUGUAUUGCUUGUCAGUGAAUACAUAGCUGGCCGGCGGCAGACGCGGGGAACUGAAACAUCUCAGUACCCGCAGGAAGAGAAAGAAAACUCGAUUCCCAUAGUAGCGGCGAGCGAAGUGGGAAGAGCCCAAACCGAGAAGCUUGCUUCUCGGGGUUGUAGGACUGGACAUUGGAGUUACCAAAGUCCGACGUAGUCGAAGUCAGCUGGAAAGCUGCGCCACAGAAGGUGAAAGCCCUGUAAGCGAAACGUCGAACCCUCCGUCCAGGAUCCUGAGUACGGCGGAACACGUGAAAUUCCGUCGGAAUCCGGGAGGACCAUCUCCCAAGGCUAAAUACUCCCUAGUGACCGAUAGUGAACCAGUACCGUGAGGGAAAGGUGAAAAGCACCCCGGAAGGGGAGUGAAACAGUUCCUGAAACCGUGUGCCUACAAUUAGUCAAAGCCCGUUAAUGGGUAAUGGCGUGCCUUUUGUAGAAUGAACCGGCGAGUUACGUUUGCUUGCGAGGUUAAGAUGAAAAGUCGGAGCCGUAGCGAAAGCGAGUCUGAACAGGGCGAAUGAGUAAGCAGAUGUAGACCCGAAACCAAGUGACCUACCCAUGACCAGGUUGAAGGUGUGGUGAAACACACUGGAGGACCGAACCCAUGUAUGUUGAAAAAUGCUGGGAUGAGUUGUGGGUAGCGGUGAAAUUCCAAACGAACUUGGAGAUAGCUGGUUCUCUCCGAAAUAGCUUUAGGGUUAGCCUCGGAGGAUGGAUCAUGGAGGUAGAGCACUGUUUGAACUAGGGGCCCAUCAAGGGUUACUGAAUUCAGAUAAACUCCGAAUACCAUCGAUCUUACUCCGGGAGUCAGACAGUGAGCGAUAAGGUCCAUUGUCGAAAGGGGAACAGCCCAGAUCACCAGUUAAGGUCCCUAAAUUUAUGCUAAGUGGAAAAGGAUGUGGCGUUGCACAGACAACUAGGAUGUUGGCUCAGAAGCAGCCACCAUUUAAAGAGUGCGUAAUAGCUCACUAGUCGAGUGGCACUGCGCCGAAAAUAUACCGGGGCUAAGCAUAAUACCGAAACUGUGGNNGAGUAGCGAAAGAUCAGUGAGAAUCUGAUCCACCGUAUGACUAAGGUUUCCUGGGGAAGGCUCGUCCUCCCAGGGUUAGUCGGGAUCUAAGGCGAGGCCGAGAGGCGUAGUCGAUGACAAGCAGGUUGAGAUUCCUGCACUAGUUUAUUUUGUUUAAGCGAUGGAGGGACGCAGGAGGCUAAGGAAAGCGCACGGCUGGAAAUGUGCGCCCAAGCAGCAAGUCUGACAGCGAGUGAAAUGCUUGCAGUCUUAAGGACAAGCUGUGAUGGGGAGCGAAAUUAUAGUAGCGAAGUUCCUGAUGUCACACUGCCAAGAAAAGCUUCUAGUGAGAAAUAAACUACCCGUACCGCAAACCGACACAGGUAGUCGAGGAGAGUAUCCUCAGGUGAGCGAGCGAACUCUCGUUAAGGAACUCGGCAAAAUGACCCCGUAACUUCGGAAGAAGGGGUGCUGACCGCAAGGUCAGCCGCAGUGAAUAGGCCCAAACAACUGUUUAUCAAAAACACAGGUCUCUGCUAAAUCGUAAGAUGAUGUAUAGGGGCUGACGCCUGCCCGGUGCUGGAAGGUUAAGAGGAUGAGUUAGCGCAAGCGAAGCCCAGAAUUGAAGCCCCAGUAAACGGCGGCCGUAACUAUAACGGUCCUAAGGUAGCGAAAUUCCUUGUCGGGUAAGUUCCGACCCGCACGAAAGGCGUAAUGAUUUGGGCACUGUCUCAACGAGAGACUCGGUGAAAUUAUAGUACCCGUGAAGAUGCGGGUUACCCGCGACAGGACGGAAAGACCCCAUGGAGCUUUACUGUAGCUUGAUAUUGAGUGUUUGUACCGCUUGUACAGGAUAGGUAGGAGCCGUAGAGAUCGGAACGCUAGUUUCGAUGGAGGCGUUGGUGGGAUACUACCCUAGCUGUAUGAACACUCUAACCCGCGCCACUAAUCGUGGCGGGAGACAGUGUCAGGUAGGCAGUUUGACUGGGGCGGUCGCCUCCUAAAAUGUAACGGAGGCGCCCAAAGGUUCCCUCAGAAUGGUUGGAAAUCAUUCGCAGAGUGUAAAGGUAUAAGGGAGCUUGACUGCGAGACUGACAAGUCGAGCAGGGACGAAAGUCGGGCUUAGUGAUCCGGUGGUUCCGUAUGGAAGGGCCAUCGCUCAACGGAUAAAAGCUACCCUGGGGAUAACAGGCUUAUCUCCCCCAAGAGUCCACAUCGACGGGGAGGUUUGGCACCUCGAUGUCGGCUCAUCGCAUCCUGGGGCUGUAGUCGGUCCCAAGGGUUGGGCUGUUCGCCCAUUAAAGCGGUACGCGAGCUGGGUUCAGAACGUCGUGAGACAGUUCGGUCCCUAUCCGUCGCGGGCGCAGGAAAUUUGAGAGGAGCUGUCCUUAGUACGAGAGGACCGGGAUGGACGUUCCGCUGGUGUACCAGUUGUGCCGCCAGGCGCAUCGCUGGGUAGCUAUGAACGGCAGGGAUAAACGCUGAAAGCAUCUAAGUGUGAAGCCCCCCUCGAGAUGAGAUUUCCCAUUCCU